rnacentral:rRNA from 1 species
CAGUAGCCGCGGGAAAACAGAGGGUGCGAGCGUUAAUCGGAUUUACUGGGCGUAAAGCGUGCGUAGGCGGCUUCUUAAGUCGGAUGUGAAAUCCCUGAGCUUAACUUAGGAAUUGCAUUUGAUACUGGGAAGCUAGAGUAUGGGAGAGGAUGGUAGAAUUCCAGGUGUAGCGGUGAAAUGCGUAGAGAUCUGGAGGAAUACCGAUGGCGAAGGCAGCCAUCUGGCCUAAUACUGACGCUGAGGUACGAAAGCAUGGGGAGCAAACAGGAUUAGAUACCCGUGUAGUCCCUGUCUCUUAUAC